rnacentral:rRNA from 1 species
UACGUAGGUGGCAAGCGUUGUCCGGAGUUAUUGGGCGUAAAGCGCGCGCAGGCGGUGCGGUAAGUCUCUGGUGAAAGCGCUCGGCUUAACUGGGCGAGGGCCGGGGAGACUGCCACGCUGGAGGGGAGCAGAGGCGAGUGGAAUUCCGGGUGUAGUGGUGAAAUGCGUAGAGAUCGGGAAGAACACCAGUGGCGAAGGCGGCCGGCUGGGGGUGGCCUGACGCUGAGGCGCGAGAGCGUGGGGAGCGAACCGG